AAGCUCGAGGGGUUUCGAGGAGGCUGGAUGGCGCCGGCCGCUUCGUGAGCCACGUGACAGGCUUGCUGCACGAUAUCUGUCAGGAAACGGUUUCCCCGUGUAACUGUAGCCCAGGCAGCGUCGAUAAAGCUUACAAAGGAGAGUUGUGGAAGGUGAGGAACCAGGAAUUAAAUUCUCUGGAAGCAUGUGAGAAGCCGUGAGAGGACUGCACCGUCUUGGUGCUCCUUCUACACACUUUGUGGGCACGUCUUGAGGGCGCAAGGCGAGUAAGACGCAGCUGUUCGAGGGAGUCUCCGUCAGCUGAGCUGUGCGAAGAAGGAUAAAGGGCGCCCCCCAAAACGGAGGCUCCUUCAGGAAACUUCCCAGCGCCAACUUGGGAAAAACGCGCAAGGGACGACCAGGUGCACUGUAGGUCAGCGACUGCAGCGGCCAGUGACUCGAUCCUUGCGGAACUGGAUGGUGGGCAACAUCCUUCAUUUUACACCAGGCUCCUAUGCCAGCUGCUGCUGAAGGGCUGGACAAUUGAGGGGACUUGAAGCAGUAGCUAGCAAGUGGUG